ensembl:lncRNA
CUUCUAGCCUCUCUGAUAUCUGAUAAGUGAGAUGGCAGCCAACCAGGCUCUCCCGUCCCUGGGAUUCUCCAGGCAAGAACACUGGAGUGGUUGCCAUUUCCUUCUCCAAUGCAUGAAAGUGAAAAUUCAAAGUCAAGUCACUCAGUCAUGUCUGACUCUUCACGACCGCAUGGACUGCAGCCUACCAGGCUCCUCCACCCAUGGGAUUUUCCAGAAAUCCAAGGUGAACCACUACUAAAACAGAUUAUAGUAUUAUCUGGAUAUUGGAUGAGUUGGUCUGCUGAACUUGACUUCACAGAAGGAAUUAAAACUUUGAACUUGUUGUUUAACAAAAUUCUGCAC